rnacentral:rRNA from 1 species
GAUGAACGCUGGCGGCGUGCCUAAUACAUGCAAGUCGAGCGAACAGAUGAGGAGCUUGCUCCUUUGACGUUAGCGGCGGACGGGUGAGUUACACGUGGAUAACCUACCUAUAAGACUGGGAUAACUUCGGGAAACCGGAGCUAAUACCGGAUAACAUAUUGAACCGCAUGGUUCAAUAGUGAAAGGCGGCUUUGCUGUCACUUAUAGAUGGAUCCGCGCCGUAUUAGCUAGUUGGUAAGGUAACGGCUUACCAAGGCAACGAUACGUAGCCGACCUGAGAGGGGGAUCGGCCACGCUGGAACUGAGACACGGUCCAGACUCCUACGGGAGGCAGCAGUAGGGAAUCUUCCGCAAUGGGCGAAAGCCUGACGGAGCAACGCCGCGUGAGUGAUGAAGGUCUUCGGAUCGUAAAACUCUGUUAUCAGGGAAGAACAAAUGUGUAAGUAACUGUGCACAUCUUGACGGUACCUGAUCAGAAAGCCACGGCUAACUACGUG